GACGAACGCUGGCGGCGUGCUUAACACAUGCAAGUCGAACGGAAAGGCCCUGCUUUUGUGGGGUGCUCGAGUGGCGAACGGGUGAGUAACACGUGAGUAACCUGCCCUUGACUUUGGGAUAACUUCAGGAAACUGGGGCUAAUACCGGAUAGGAGCUCCUGCUGCAUGGUGGGGGUUGGAAAGUUUCGGCGGUUGGGGAUGGACUCGCGGCUUAUCAGCUUGUUGGUGGGGUAGUGGCUUACCAAGGCUUUGACGGGUAGCCGGCCUGAGAGGGUGACCGGCCACAUUGGGACUGAGAUACGGCCCAGACUCCUACGGGAGGCAGCAGUGGGGAAUAUUGCACAAUGGGCGGAAGCCUGAUGCAGAAACGCCGCGUGCGGGAUGACGGCCUUCGGGUUGUAAACCGAUUUCGCAUGUGACGAAGCGUGAGUGACGGUAAUGGGUAAAGAAGCACCGGCUAACUACGUG
rnacentral:rRNA from 1 species